AUUGAACGCUGGCGGCAGGCCUAACACAUGCAAGUCGAGCGAGCGGCGGACGGGUGAGUAAUGUAUGGGGACUGCCCGAUCGAGGGGGAUAAACACUGGAAACGGUGGAUAAUACCGCCUCUUGUCGGAUAAUCCAUAUGGGAUUAGCUAGUAGGUAAGGUAAUGGAUUACCUAGGCGACGAUCCCUCGCUGGUCUGAGAGGAUGAUCCGCCACACGGGGACGGAGACACGGCCCAGAAUCCUACGGAGGCAGCAGGGGGGAAUAUUGCACAAUGGGCGCAAGCCUGAUGCAGCCAUGCCGCGUGUGUGAAGAAGGCCCUAGGGUUGUAAAGUACUUUCAGUCGGGAGGCGUUACCGACAGAAGAAGCACCGGCUAACUCCGUGCCAGCAGCCGCGGUAAUUC
rnacentral:rRNA from 1 species